UCAGACAUGGUGUUGUGGUGACACAGUCUCUUGAAUUAGGAGGUACAGAACAUAUUACUGGUAGGGGCAGUCCGGGGUUCGAUUCCCUGUGUCUGAA